rnacentral:sRNA from 1 species
AUGUGCUGGAGAUACAGAGGAGGAGGAGACAGAUGAAACCCCAGCCCUUGUGAUAUUGUCAUCUUAGUAGGUGUGGUGGGGAGAUAAACAAGUAGACACCUGCAUGAAUAAGACUUUCAGAUUGUGGUAAACCCUGUGGAGGAAACGAAACAGGUGAAGGAACAGAGUCACUAGGAGCAGGCAGGUGCGGCUGCUUCAGAAUUUCACUCUGUCGCCAGGCUGGAAUGCAGUAGGGCAAUCUCGGCUCACUGCAACCUCCACCUCCCGAGUUCAAGUGAUGCUCCUGCUUCAGCCUCCUGAGUAGCUGGGACUACAGGUGAGUGCCACCACAUCCAGCUAAUUUUUGUAUUUUUAGUAGAGACAGGGUUUCACCAUGUUGGCCAGGCUGGUAUCGAUCUCCUGACCUCGUGAUCCAUCUGUCUCGGCCUCCCAAAGUGCUGGGAUUACAGGCGUGAGCCACCGUGCCCGGCCAUGGACUAAGGUCUUAAAAUAGCUGCUUCUGCCUGUAUAAUCUCCAUUAUGGCAGGGCUCAUAUAAGAAGAUGACAGUUCAUCUGAUGGGGAAGAAAACUU